rnacentral:rRNA from 2 species
UUGUCGAAUCCUGCAAAGCAGACGACCGCGAACUUGUGUAAUUGCCGGGCGUCGGGGAACGGGGGAGACUAAAGCCUCCCCUAACUCCCCGGCGCUCCCCGCGCACCGCGCGGACAACAACUCAACCCCGGCGCGGAAAGCGCCAAGGAAAACUCAAAAGGAUUGCCCGCCUCCCCGUGCGCGGGGUGUGUUGUGGCGUCUGUCGUAACCAAAACGACUCUCGGCAACGGAUAUCUCGGCUCUCGCAUCGAUGAAGAACGUAGCGAAAUGCGAUACUUGGUGUGAAUUGCAGAAUCCCGUGAACCAUCGAGUCUUUGAACGCAAGUUGCGCCCGAAGCCAUUAGGCCGAGGGCACGCCUGCCUGGGCGUCACGCAUCGCGUCGCCACCCCCCUUUUGCGGGGCGGCGGAUACUGGCCUCCCGUCCCAAGAAGGCGCGGCUGGCCUAAAUUCGAGUCCUCGACGGGGGACGUCACGACAAGUGGUGGUUGAAUGCCUCAACUCGAUUCCUGUCGUGUUCAUUGGCCUCGUCGUUUCUCGGGCUCCUUGACCCUUCUUGCUUGCAUCUCGAUGCGAGCCUCGACCGCGACCCCA